GCAUAUUUUGUUACUUAAUUACAUGAUCCUUACCAAUUACAUAAGUCUUUAUUUUUGCCCACACAAGUAUACGUAAUUCAAUCAAUCUCCUGCAUAAUAUUUACCGGAGAUUUCUUUUUUUUCCCCUGAGACUAGCUCAUUGCCUAGUGAUAUCUGGAGCCAGUACCAACAGACUCAACUGGAGUGGGCCCUCUCUCACUAUCCAAAGUUCUCUGAGGAUCGCUGGGAAAAUGUUUCUAAAGCUGUUCCUGGAAAAUCAAUGGAUGAGUGUGUCAAGAGAUGUAAGGAGUUGUUCGAAGCUGUCAGGAAGAGAAAAGUAGACACUGGCAGAUAGUUUAGUUCACAACAAACACACUCUUAUUCAUAAUUCCAUAAUUAUUUUAUUAGGCAAACAGAUUUGUAAUUUUUGUGUUGAAUUCAGUGACACAUAAUUAUCUCAAACCUCAUAAUUAAAAAUUGUCAAUGUUAACAUAACAAUUAGCAAAAAUUUGGUCUA